UUGGCCCAGAAAGCUGGGUGCUCAGGAGGCUCUGCUCUAAAGGUGACAGAUCCUAGGAAGUGGCCACUCUGCUGGGAGGGGUGGGCUUGGCUGUCCUGCCCCCAUGCUGCCCUUCCACACCCCUGGCCUGGGUCUGGACCUGUCCCCAUCCCUGGAUCUGGCUCUUGGUUUCCCAAAGGCAAAGGGGAGGGGUGCUGUCCAUUCUCUGCCCCAGGUCCCUGGCCUCUGCUCAGUGCUGUGCACUCCCCUGUAAGCUCAGAGAAGUGAACUGGCAUCUGGUCUGGGUCCUGGGAGCCUGAAGCCACACUGCUGAGGCCAUCAGGAAGUUAAAAUCUAGGGGCUGGGGCAAAUCCCGGAGCCCUUUUCCUGAUGCCCUGGCAACCUGCAGGGCAGGGAGGGCUGCUACUUCUGCCCCAACUUAUCUGUCCUUGGUGUCAUCUCUGUCUUUCCCCCUGAACACCUGCUUCUGCAGUGAGCUACUCUGAGUGGGCCACCACCUCCCUCUGAGGAAGGCCCUUAGUUGGACUUAGGGCCGCACUGAGCUUGGGCUGGGGAGGAGUGAGGGGGCCUGUGUGCAGGGCGUGCCGGUUUCCCCACCUCUGCCUCUGCUGACUGCUUUGGCUUCUCUCUUAUGUGGGUAUUUAUUACAAGUGGCCUUGUGUCAGACACAUGCUCAGUUGUACACACAUGCACACUCAGCUCGCCACCUGGACACACACACACCUUUGUGGGGAGAGAAAGCCAGUGUCUCUAGUUGUGAAGUUUGCUUUGAUAGGCUGGGGGCAGGGGACAGGACACUUAACUCCCUUUCAGUUCCUUCCUAGUCCUGGAAACCUCCCAGGGGACUGUUCUCAUUGGUCUUGCCUGGGGUGGGGAAAGGGAAGGCCUAUUGUCACCCCAGAGGCCUCCAAGAGGGAGCCUCACACCCACCUCAGCAUAGCACUUCCACCCCACAAGCCUGCUGCCCUCCUGCUCCUGCAGCCACCACCUGCCACCCUGGUUCUUGGGGAAACCAGUUUACAGUCUUCCCUGAGUGAUUGGGACUGCAAGAGCAGAGGGAGCCAGCUGGGCCUGGUGCCCAGGAACAGAGAAGCAUCAGGGGACCUGCCCUUCCUUUCAGGCUCUGCUCACCUCCCUGCAUUCUGAGGCCAUUUCAGAGUUGAAAGUGUGUCAACCAGUGGCCUCUCGGGCCUGCACAGAUACCUCAUCCGCCCGCUCACCGCCCCUGCCCCUCCCCACCCCUAGCAGUGGGGGCCUUCGAAUCUAGUGCCGAAUGACUAUGUCCAGAUUGGUGACGAUGGGUGUUGUUGCUGUUGUUUUUGUUGUUGUUUGUGAACGCUGUGAUGCUGUGUGCCCUAGAGGGCAGCCACCGCUCAGCCCUUCCUUGGGCAUCUCCCUUCUGAGAGCUGUCAGGACCACAUCUGUCCUCACCCUGUGGGACCGCCUGCCCCUCCCCUCCCUAGCCCUUCCAGCCUGGGGGCUGCGCGCGCGUGUGUGCAUACGUGCACGCGCACACAAACACACAUACACACACACCUUACCUCUCAUGCGUGUUUUACUUUUUGACGUUAGGAGUGGCUCACUGGCUGGGAGCCUUUACCUCGGGGAGAGGGGGAGGUUGGUUCCUUGGGGGGCCAAAGAAGGGCAGGGAGUGCCUGGAGGGGAAUUAAGGGUUACUAAAGCCCUGGCUCUCCAGGAACAGCUUCUCCCCCAUCCCAGGGUCCCAUCCCCAUCCCCCAAAGAGGUGGCCCUUGUUUACAGUGAGGACUCUGGUCACUGUGUCUCCGUUUCCUGAAAUAUAAACUGUAGCGACCCCAGACUGUAGAGAUUUUUAUGUGUUUGGAUACAUCUGCUGUGUGGGAAAAAAACAAAAACCCUACAAAAAACCCUAAUUUUGUACAUAUUGUAUUUUUACUAUUGAACUGUAUUCUAGUGGCUGUUCAUGCUCCAAGACUUUAGGUAUUGAGACAUGAAUACUAUCCAUGUAAUAAGCACUUGCCUGGAAUAAAAUAUAAAACUGAAUAAACCUGCACUGAAA
rnacentral:lncRNA from 1 species